UACAGAGGUCUCAAGCGUUGUUCGGAUUCAUUGGGCGUAAAGGGUGUGUAGGUGGCGCCGUAAGUGGGGUGUGAAAUCUCGGGGCUUAACUCCGAAACUGCAUUCGAUACUGCGGUGCUUUGAGGACUGGAGAGGAGACUGGAAUUUAUGGUGUAGCAGUGAAAUGCGUAGAGAUCAUAAGGAAGACCAGUGGCGAAGGCGG
rnacentral:rRNA from 1 species